rnacentral:tRNA from 1 species
GGGUGUAUAGCUCAGUGGGAGAGCACUACCUUGACAUGGUAGGGGUCGUAGGUUCAAUCCCUACUACACCCA